rnacentral:rRNA from 1 species
AUUGAACGCUAGCGGGAUGCUUUACACAUGCAAGUCGAACGGAUAGGCGGACGGGUGGGUAAGAUAUCUGACCAUGACCAGGUGCGGGGGACAACUACGCGCAAGAGUGACUAAUACCGCAUACUGCUGGAGCGGCCGGUAUCGGAUUAGCUAGUUGGGGGGGUAAAGGCUCACAAAGACAACGAACCGUAGCUGGUUUGAGAGGACGACCAGACACACUGGGACUGAGACACGGCCCAGACUCCUACGGGAGGCAGCAGUGGGGAAUUUUGGACAAUGGGGGAAACCCUGAUCCAGCCAUCCCGCGUGUAUGAUGAAGGCCUUCGGGUUGUAAAGUACUUUUGGCAGGGAAGCGGUAUCUGCAGAAUAAGCACCGGCUAACUACGUGCCAGCAGCCGCGGUAAUUC